UACGAAGGGGGGCUAGCGUUGUUCGGAAUUACUGGGCGUAAAGCGCACGUAGGCGGAUUUGUAAGUCAGGGGUGAAAUCCCGGGGCUCAACCUCGGAACUGCCUUUGAUACUGCAAGUCUUGAGUCCGAUAGAGGUGAGUGGAAUUCCUAGUGUAGAGGUGAAAUUCGUAGAUAUUAGGAAGAACACCAGUGGCGAAGGCGGCUCACUGGAUCGGUACUGACGCUGAGGAGCGAAAGCGUGGGGAGCGAACAGG
rnacentral:rRNA from 1 species